AGAGUUUGAUCCUGGCUCAGGACGAACGCUGGCGGCGUGCCUAAUACAUGCAAGUAGAACGCUGAAGGAGGAGCUUGCUUCUCUGGAUGAGUUGCGAACGGGUGAGUAACGCGUAGGUAACCUGCCUGGUAGCGGGGGAUAACUAUUGGAAACGAUAGCUAAUACCGCAUAAGAGUAGAUGUUGCAUGACAUUUGCUUAAAAGGUGCACUUGCAUCACUACCAGAUGGACCUGCGUUGUAUUAGCUAGUUGGUGGGGUAACGGCUCACCAAGGCGACGAUACAUAGCCGACCUGAGAGGGUGAUCGGCCACACUGGGACUGAGACACGGCCCAGACUCCUACGGGAGGCAGCAGUAGGGAAUCUUCGGCAAUGGACGGAAGUCUGACCGAGCAACGCCGCGUGAGUGAAGAAGGUUUUCGGAUCGUAAAGCUCUGUUGUAAGAGAAGAACGAGUGUGAGAGUGGAAAGUUCNUUACGCUAUUAUCGUCUUUAUCACUAGUCGAUCAGAGUUUGCGACUCUAACCUAUAAAUACCAGGUAUCAGCCCUAGAUUUUGUUGAUAAGGAUAUCAAUGAUGAGAUGUUUAAGAAGAGAAUUGAGCAAAAUAUCUUCUACACGAAGAGUAUGUUACUUGAAAAUGAAGAUGUUGUAGAUUAUUUCGACUACAAUUACAAGGGAAAUGAUUUAAAAAUUCCUUACCAUGAUAUUUUGUAUAUUGAAACAACAGGGGUCUCUCAUAAAUUGCGCAUUAUUGGUAAGAAUUUUGCAAAAGAGUUUUAUGGUACCAUGACAGAUAUUCAGGAAAAGGACAAACAUACUCAGCGAUUUUAUUCUCCUCACAAGUCAUUUUUGGUAAAUAUAGGCAAUAUCAGAGAAAUUGAUCGAAAAAACUUAGAAAUUGUUUUCUAUGAAGACCAUCGUUGUCCUAUUUCAAGAUUAAAAAUUAGAAAAUUAAAAGAUAUUUUAGAGAAAAAAUCUCAAAAGUGAUUGACAAUUAGCAAGAAAUUGAUAUAAUGGUUAUAUCUGCUACAGAUAGAAGGUCCGUUGGUCAAGGGGUUAAGACACCGCCUUUUCACGGCGGUAACACGGGUUCGAAUCCCGUACGGACUAUGGUAUGUUGCGGUUGGAACACUUGAUGAAAAAAAGUUUAAAAAAACUUAAAAAUCUUCAAAAAAGUGUUGACAAGCGAAAGCAGUUGUGAUAUACUAAUAUAGUUGUCGCUUGAGAGAAGCAAGUGACAAAGACCUUUGAAAACUGAACAAGACGAACCAAUGUGCAGGGCGCUACAACAUAAGUUGUAGUACUGAACAAUGAAAAAAACAAUAAAUCUGUCAGUGACAGAAAUGAGUGAGAACUCAAACUUUUAAUGAGAGUUUGAUCCUGGCUCAGGACGAACGCUGGCGGCGUGCCUAAUACAUGCAAGUAGAACGCUGAAGGAGGAGCUUGCUUCUCUGGAUGAGUUGCGAACGGGUGAGUAACGCGUAGGUAACCUGCCUGGUAGCGGGGGAUAACUAUUGGAAACGAUAGCUAAUACCGCAUAAGAGUAGAUGUUGCAUGACAUUUGCUUAAAAGGUGCACUUGCAUCACUACCAGAUGGACCUGCGUUGUAUUAGCUAGUUGGUGGGGUAACGGCUCACCAAGGCGACGAUACAUAGCCGACCUGAGAGGGUGAUCGGCCACACUGGGACUGAGACACGGCCCAGACUCCUACGGGAGGCAGCAGUAGGGAAUCUUCGGCAAUGGACGGAAGUCUGACCGAGCAACGCCGCGUGAGUGAAGAAGGUUUUCGGAUCGUAAAGCUCUGUUGUAAGAGAAGAACGAGUGUGAGAGUGGAAAGUUCACACUGUGACGGUAUCUUACCAGAAAGGGACGGCUAACUACGUGCCAGCAGCCGCGGUAAUACGUAGGUCCCGAGCGUUGUCCGGAUUUAUUGGGCGUAAAGCGAGCGCAGGCGGUUAGAUAAGUCUGAAGUUAAAGGCUGUGGCUUAACCAUAGUAGGCUUUGGAAACUGUUUAACUUGAGUGCAAGAGGGGAGAGUGGAAUUCCAUGUGUAGCGGUGAAAUGCGUAGAUAUAUGGAGGAACACCGGUGGCGAAAGCGGCUCUCUGGCUUGUAACUGACGCUGAGGCUCGAAAGCGUGGGGAGCAAACAGGAUUAGAUACCCUGGUAGUCCACGCUGUAAACGAUGAGUGCUAGGUGUUAGACCCUUUCCGGGGUUUAGUGCCGUAGCUAACGCAUUAAGCACUCCGCCUGGGGAGUACGACCGCAAGGUUGAAACUCAAAGGAAUUGACGGGGGCCCGCACAAGCGGUGGAGCAUGUGGUUUAAUUCGAAGCAACGCGAAGAACCUUACCAGGUCUUGACAUCCCUCUGACCGCUCUAGAGAUAGAGUUUUCCUUCGGGACAGAGGUGACAGGUGGUGCAUGGUUGUCGUCAGCUCGUGUCGUGAGAUGUUGGGUUAAGUCCCGCAACGAGCGCAACCCCUAUUGUUAGUUGCCAUCAUUUAGUUGGGCACUCUAGCGAGACUGCCGGUAAUAAACCGGAGGAAGGUGGGGAUGACGUCAAAUCAUCAUGCCCCUUAUGACCUGGGCUACACACGUGCUACAAUGGCUGGUACAACGAGUCGCAAGCCGGUGACGGCAAGCUAAUCUCUUAAAGCCAGUCUCAGUUCGGAUUGUAGGCUGCAACUCGCCUACAUGAAGUCGGAAUCGCUAGUAAUCGCGGAUCAGCACGCCGCGGUGAAUACGUUCCCGGGCCUUGUACACACCGCCCGUCACACCACGAGAGUUUGUAACACCCGAAGUCGGUGAGGUAACCGUAAGGAGCCAGCCGCCUAAGGUGGGAUAGAUGAUUGGGGUGAAGUCGUAACAAGGUAGCCGUAUCGGAAGGUGCGGCUGGAUCACCU
rnacentral:tRNA from 1 species